UGGCGAACGGGUGAGUAACACGUGGGCAACCUGCCCAAAANAGGGGGAUAACACUUGGAAACAGGUGCUAAUACCGCAUAACCAUAGUUACCGCAAUGGUAACUAUGUAAAAGGUGGACUAUACUACCGCUUUUGGAUGGGCCCGCGACGCAUUAGCUAGUUGGUAGGGUAAAGGCUUACCAAGGCAAUGAUGCGUAGCCGAAUUGAGAGGUUGAUCGGCCACAUUGGGACUGAGACACGGCCCAAACUCCUACGGAAGGCAGCAG
rnacentral:rRNA from 1 species